AUGGAUGAGCCAGAGCUGCAGUUAGUUGUUUUUGAUAUUGAGGAGUCACCUUUAGUUGAUAUUGAUCAUGUGCUGCUAGAGCCAGAUAUGGAGAAGUUCACCUUCGAUGAUGUUAGCCGCAUUGCUUCCUCAACACUUGAGCCUGAGAUGGAGAGCUUCAUGGUUGAGUAUGGUGAGGUGGAUUCAGAUGUCAAGGAGCCAAGCGCUACUAUUUCACUUGUUGACAUGAGUCCGGUUGAAAUUUCUACUACCACACCUCACUUGGUAUCUUCAAUUGAGGUAGUCCUGAAGCUUCUUCCUAACUAUCUCAGGUAUGAUCUUAGCUUUCUAGACAAGACAUGUCAUAUCGCUGAUAUUGCCUAUGCCCCAUGUGACUUGUUGUUGAUACAUGUUCCUGAUUUGAUCAAUAGAUAUACUUAUAUGAUAGGGUACUCUAUCAAUGACUUAGAGAGCAUUCUCUCUGUCACUUGUAUUGGCUUGGUUGUUGAGUGUGCUUUCAGGUUUUUGCUUGUGCACGAUCCAUUACAUGCUGACCAGGUUCGAGGUGACAUUCCUUGGGACCCUGGUGGACUCAGAGCAUGGGGAUGA
rnacentral:rRNA from 1 species